rnacentral:lncRNA from 10 species
UUUUGCCUCUCUCAGCAUUCCACAGGUUAAUUCCUCUCUUCCUUUGUUCUCCUCUGCCUUUGCCUCUUUUGGGAAGUUCUAAGUUGCUAGCCAAUCAGGUUGAGUACAGAAUGUGAGGUCCCAUUCCAGCCAAUGGAAACCGGACACAGCAGUAGGGUGGAUGCAUCAGGUUAUAAAUUACCCUGUCUCUUUUGUUGGUGUGUGGCAAGACUGCUAGCAAGCAGCACCCUUUCUGCAGAAAGUAAACUAGCCUUGCUGAGAGAUCCUUUGUCUCAGUGUUGAUUUUUGCAACACUAAGCACCCGUUCCCAACAAUUUGGUGGCCCGUAGGGGAUUAACAUUCCCCUCUGGGACAGUCUUUGGUCCUCUCUCAUGGGGAGGUGCCCCACUGCCCAUUGUAGCAGCCCCUGGAGGACAGCCAGGACCUACCCGGAGCAAGGAAUAUAGUUGGAUUCUCAGCAACGCAGGGAAAGAGAGAGGCUUGCAGGACCACAGUGACCAGGUGACUCCAUGCACGGGCCAAGCUCUCAUAGUUGUGAUCGCCUGCAGCUGAGACACCAAUUGUCUGCUCCUACAGCCUGGCAACCUUGCAGUAGCUGGAACUAUGUCCUUUGAACUACUCAGGAGCAAGGUUAGACUUCCACGGAAGAGGUUUGUGCAAAUCUAAAAUCCCUCACCUAUUUCUGUCAGCCUUAUCAGUGUAACCCUGUCCUUCUCUCUCUCACCACCUCCACCUUAACUGAUUCUAAACUUGCCCUUGUUCACUUCUAUGGUAUGGGGAUUGAUGUAAAUGGGAAAGACCCCCUAGGCAUUUUUGAGAUAUGCAUUAUUCCCCAGUCUUCCCCUUCUUCGGUAGCCUCAGUUUUAAAUCCCACACCAGUUGCUCCUACACCUAAUGAUAAAACUAGGGUGUCUAUUGUGAAAGUGAAAUAUCUUAAGACAGACCUUAGCCAUUGAGAUAGGAUAUCAAGAUGCAAAUGCCUGGCUGAAAUCGAUUAAAUAUUCCAUUCGCACUUUAAAUAAAAGCGAUUGUUACGCUUGUGCACACGGUAGGCCAGAGGCCCAGACUGUCCCCUUUCCACUUGGAUGGGCUCCUCGUUGACCAAGCAUGGACUGUAUGGUGGCUCUCUUCCAGAAUCCCACUGCUUGGGAUAAUCCAUCAUGCCAAGCUCUCUCUGCUGUUUCCUGAAGUUCAACACACUGAGGGUCAGGCCCAGAGGGCAAUCCAGCUUCCACCUCUAAAUGCCAAGUUUACUUCCUGCCUCUCAUGGCAAGGGGAGAAUUUAGUGUUCCUUGGAAGCAUAAAAAGAUGCAAGGAGCUCAGGCCUUUCCAGAAGCUUGUUCAUCAGUCCCCGAGCUGUAUGAUGGUACUGUGGAGGACCUUUACUGGACACUCUGCCUUAUAAUUGGAGUGGUACUUGUGCUCUAAUCCAAUUGACUAUCCCCUUCACCCUGGCAUUUCGUCAGUCUGCGAAAGUAAAAACAAGACACUGCAGGCCAAGGGAAACUCCAUUUGAGUCCUUUGAUCCUCAGGUUUACAUAGAUGCUAUUGGGGUCCCAUGAGGAGUGCCAGAUAAGUUUAAAGCAUGGAAUCAAAUAGCUACAGGAUUUGAAUCUACAUUGUUCUGGUGGUUAACUACAUAUCUAUAAAUAAAAAUAUAGACUGGAUAAACUAUAUUACAAUCAGCAAUGAUUCAUAAAUUAUACUAGGGACUCCAUCGAAGGGAUAGCUGAGCAAAUAAGACCUACCAGCCAGAUGGCCUGGAAAAAUAGAAUAGCCUUAGAUAUGAUAUUAGCAGAAAAAGGAGGUGUUUGCAUAAUGAUUGAAACUCAAUGUUGUACCUUUAUUCCUAAUAAUACUACCCCUGAUGGAACUAUAACAAGAGUGCUACAAGGAUUAACAGCCCUAUCCAAUGAACUUGCCAAAAAUUCUGGAUUAGAUGAUCCUUUUUCUAAAAGACAGAACAUUGGUUCAGGGGAUGGAAAGGGAUUUUCACUUCAAUUCUCACCUCGUUAGCUCUUGUUAUUGGUGUACUUAUUCUCAUAGGCUGUUGUAUUAUUACCUGCCUUCAAAGUUUUAUACAAAAACUUGUCUCUGCCACUCUUACAAAGUUAAUUCCUAACUUUUCUUCACCCUAUUCAGAAAGAUUACUUCUCUUAAAAGGACAAACAGAGCAACUGAGUCAAGACAUGUUAAACAAGUUUAAAGAGGAAUUAUAAAAUAAAAGAGGGGGGAAUUGUAGAAAAUGAAAUAGAGGUUCCUCUUCAAAGGGACAUUCCUCCCAGUCUACUUCAGAAUAGAUAGUAACCUCUCUUAGAAGCAAAAUUUACUCAAAGACCUGUGCUAAUAUUCUUAAAUUCUGCUAGCUGUAAUAAAGAAAUCAAUAUACUCUGUUCUUAGCUCCACAUUUUAGCCUAGAUAUUUGCCUGGGCAUGCCUGAAGAGGUCCAAGCAAGCAUGAGGUCAUAGCCUGUUUCUCUUUCCUUAUUUGUAAGUGUUUUUGCCUCUCUCAGCAUUCCACAGGUUAAUUCCUCUCUUCCUUUGUUCUCCUCUGCCUUUGCCUCUUUUGGGAAGUUCUAAGUUGCUAGCCAAUCAGGUUGAGUACAGAAUGUGAGGUCCUAUUCCAGCCAAUGGAAACCGGACACAGCAGCAGGGUGGAUGCAUCAGGUUAUAAAUGACCCUGUCUCUUUUCUUCGUGUGCGCUCUUGUGGCAAGACUGCUAGCGAGCAGCAACCCUUUCUGCAGAAAGUAAACUAGCCUUGC